GUUGAGGUCUAUUCCGAUGGGGCUUUUUCUGUAAACCUACAUUGUUGGAAACGCCUCACAGAGUAACCAUAGGAGUUUCCGUACUCACAGCACAUGUUAGAUCUGUGCGGAGGAGCCAUAGACUGAG
ensembl:snoRNA